CGCGGCCUAUCAGCUUGUUGGUGGGGUAACGGCCUACCAAGGCAAUGACGGGUAGCAGGCCUGAGAGGGUGGUCUGUCACACUGGGACUGAGACACUGCCCAGACUCCUACGGGAGGCUGCAGUCGAGAAUCUUCCGCAAUGGGCGAAAGCCUGACGGAGCGACGCCGCGUGGAGGACGAAGGCCUUCGGGUUGUAAACUCCUGUCACGGGUUAUGAAUGUGCGUAGGUUAAUAGUCUGCGUAUUGACGUAUGCCCGAGAGGAAGCACCGGCUAACUCCGUGCCAGCAGCCGCGGUAAUACGGAGGGUGCGAACGUUGUUCGGAAUCACUGGGCAUAAAGAGCUCGUAGGCGGCUGGGCAAGUGUGAAGUGAAAGCCCACGGCUCACCCGUGGAACUGCUUUGCAGACUGCCUGGCUAGAGGAUGGUAAGGGAGAGCGGAACUCCUGUUGGAGCGGUGAAAUGCGUAGAUAUCAGGAGGAACACCGGUGGCGAAGGCGGCUCUCUGGUCCAUUUCUGACGCUGAGGAGCGAAAGCUAGGGUAGCGAACGGGAUUAGAUACCCCGGUAGUCCUAGCCGUAAACGAUGGGCACUAGCUAGGGGCCCUCCUGUGGGGUCCCUGGUGAAGCAAAUGUGAUAAGUGCCCCGCCUGGGGAGUACGG
rnacentral:rRNA from 1 species